AUACGGAGGGUGCAAGCGUUGUUCGGAAUUACUGGGCGUAAAGCGCGCGUAGGCGGAUUGGUCAGUUAGGGGUGAAAUCCCAGGGCUUAACCCUGGAACUGCCUCUAAUACUGCCAGUCUUGAGUUCGGGAGAGGUGAGUGGAAUUCCUAGUGUAGAGGUGAAAUUCGUAGAUAUUAGGAAGAACACCAGUGGCGAAGGCGGCUCACUGGCCCAUUACUGACGCUGAGGUACGAAAGCGUGGGGAGCAAACAGGAUUAGAAACCCUUGUAGUCC
rnacentral:rRNA from 1 species